GGAAAACACCACCUUUGGUUUGUGGACAUAUCAGCCCUGCUGAAGGCAGCGAAAGCCCACUGUUGACCAGGUCUGGGGGUCUGUAUGCAGCUGGAAGAUCUGAUGCAGAAUCUGAGACUGAUGACUGGAGACAUUAUAGAAGGAGUGUCAUCAGACGAAGUUAUUAGACCGGAUGAGUUUAUGAACUGUAAGAAGGCCCAUGAGGUUCAGGCAGUGUCUGAGGUUGUGGCUUGACAGAGACAGCAGCCUGUUUUCCCCUUUGACCUCAUAUAUCAAUGCAGAAACUGAGCUCAAGACACUGAUCACAGAGCUGGAGGAUGCAGUUCUGGUUGGUCUGCAUACAUGUGGAGAUUUGGCCCCCAGCACUCUGCGGAGGU